rnacentral:lncRNA from 1 species
GCCUCUAGAGCUGGUAUGGGGAUGCCUGCUGUUUGUGGCAGCUGUGAGCCAGCUGCUGAGGGGCUGGCCUUUGUUUCUGUGAUGUAAGGACACAUCAUCUGUCCCAACUGUUUAUUGCUCACAAAACACACUGUCUCCCUGGGAUCUGUCCCAGCUGGGAUCCAAAGCUGAGCGGAACGGAUUUUACACCUUUUGUUGCAUUUCCUUAAAUGUAAACUAGUAAAACCAAGGACAGAACCAUGAUGAGUUGGACAGUGCUCCCCUAUUUUUACCAUCCACUUUCAUGACUUAUGCGGUUUCCAGGGUUGUGAAGGUCCCUUCCUGUACAGGCACUCCUCUAUCCAGAAGCCCUCUCCUACUCCCCCAGAAGCUGGCCCAUGGGAAACUUUUAUUUUAACCUCACUAUCCAUUCUGUGGACUCCUCAGCAGCUGAAGCAUACCACGCAACAGCACACAUUUCAGUGAGUGGACAGAGCAAUGGCAAACUCCAAGAUAAAUCAGAAAGUCAGCAAUGGCUUGUGGAGUGCAAUUACAAAGGAAAAAAGACUGCCGAUUACCACUGAAAUGGAGUGAAGUUUCUGGAAAGGAUUGCUGGGCUCCUGGUCUGUGUCAGCAUGGUCGGUAAAACAUCGCACGGAGCUCAACACACCCACUGUCGGAACUAAUUGGCAUUUAAUAAGAAGACCCCCUGAGAGAAGCUUGCUGAUGUGGGCAUUUCUGCAACAUAUCUGUGCAGGGGUGGGGCCCUUUUGCAAAAAUUCUUUAGGAGGGAGGGAAGCAUCAAAUGAGUCAGAUCUGUAUUCAUGGGGCUACCCCCUGGGACAUAACUUGACUCAUCCACAAAUACUGACAUUCCUUUGGAAGAAGUGGACUGCAAAUACUUUCCUGGAGGGAAAGCCAUAACCGCAUUGACCUAACAAUUGCUUUAGCAAGCAUGUAGCCACAAAUAUUAAUCAUCCAUAGAUGCUCCUCUUUAAUAUGUAAUCUGUAAAUGUCCACUGAUAAGGAACUGGUUGAAUAUGUUAUAGUGCAUGCAUACAUGGGAAAAUAAGGCAAUUCUGUGUGGAAAAAAAAAACUUAGGAAAUAUUAACAACUCAAAAAAAUAACUAUGUAUGUAUGUAUAUAUAACAUGAUCCUAUGUGCACAAAAUGCCUUUCUUUUUUUUUGUUGUUGUUGUUGUUUUUCUUUUGAAACAGGGCAGCACUAGCUGGCCUGGAACUCUCCUAUGUAGACUAGAAUGGCUUCAAAUUUAUAGAGAUCUCUCUGCCUCUACCUCCCAAGUGCUGGGAUUAAAAGUGUAUGUCACAUACCCACCUUGUUUUUUCUUUUUUAAAGAAAAAUAGGGAGCCUGGAGAGAAGGCUCAGUGG